GCCUGGCUGGCUCAGACAGUAGAGCAUGUGACUCUUGAUCUCGGGGAUCUCAGGGUUGUAAGUUCGAGCCCUAUGUCAGGUG
rnacentral:tRNA from 1 species